CAGAUGUGAAAGACCCGGGGCGUCAACCUCGGAAUUGCAUUUGAAACUGGCAAACUAGAGUACUGUAGAGGGGGGUAGGAAUUUCAGGUGUAGCGGUGAAAUGCGUAGAGAUCUGAAGGAAUACCGGUGGCGAAGGCGGCCCCCUCGGACAGAUACUGACACUCAGAUGCGAAAGCGUGGGGAGCAAACAGGAUUAGAUACCCCUGGUAG
rnacentral:rRNA from 1 species